rnacentral:rRNA from 1 species
UACGUAGGGGGCAAGCGUUGUCCGGAUUUAUUGGGCGUAAAGCGCGCGUAGGCGGCGCGGUAUGUCGUGCGUGAAAUCUCCCGGCUUAACUGGGAGGGGCCGUGCGAAACUGCCGGGCUUGAGGUCGGAAGGGGAAAGUGGAACUGAUGGUGGAGCGGUGAAAUGCGUUGAUAUCAUCAGGAACACCGGUGGCGAAGGCGGCUACCUGGACCGAUAUUGACGCUGAGACGCGAAAGCGUGGGUAGCAAACAGG